CUCCUCUCUCCUGUCUCCAAUCUCUCCUCUCUCCAUCUCUCCUCUCUCCUCUUUCCUCUCGUCUCCGGCGUCUCACUGCUGCCAGAUCCGCUGCCUCCCUUUUCAGAUCCCCAGUACACCGAGCUUCACCACCCACAUAAUCCAAAACCUAUGUUCUUCCCCCAACUUCUUCCCGUAGGAUUCCAACGGGGGACAUCAAGGAGAGCUGUUGCCGGUAUGCCACCUCUGAUUCCGCUAUUAAACCUGCGGCAACAACAAUGCAGUGCUGCUAUAGGCCAUCUUCUGAUCAUGCUUCAAGAAUUUUCAAGAUGUCCCAGUCCAAGUUAAUCAUCUAGAAGUUUGUCCGUAGUGGGGAGCAAAGUGCCCUUAUUAUUCUAAUGCAGAGAAGAAUACACACUUAAAAUUUUUAUAGGUGACGUAGAGAAAAAUAUACACUUCAACUAUACUGGCAUCUCUUGGUGCAGCUGACUGUAGAUUUGUUCCACCAAAGUUGUGGCCUCCAAGUCCUUCUCCCUGGAUUUUCUCUAUGCCUGUAGGUGUGUCUGUACCUGCUCAAGAAGGCAUCUCGAGAAACCACUAAAGCCACCAAGAAGCAUCUGGUCAUCUGCGGAUUCAUGUCCAGCACUAGAGGGAAUCUAUGGUGCAGCUUCUCACUGGUGCGUCUGAUCCAAAUGGUUUUAUGUCUAAUUUCAUUGGGUCAACUAUGGGAACGGAUGCUGCUGGUCAAGGUACAAGUCAUCUGCAGCACGCCAUCCUAUCCGUCAACAAUGGCCUGAGCUAUGAGCAAGCCACCUCUUCAGUAAUACCCUAAUGAGUAAUGAGCAGCAUGGUGCCGCCGGCCGCCCUUGCAUCCUAAUUUACAUCAACAUCGGCUUUCUUCUUUCCCUAAGGACCAUAUUACCCUUCAGGUCAUAUUUGUGUUGAUUUUGUUAUUCCAUCAGGUCAUAUUAGUGAGAGAGGCAAAUACCAAUCCAUCAGGUGUUGUUCCAUGUAUACAUCAUUUACUUAUAAAUCCGAUUUGUUUGUGUGGGUUGCGUUAUGAGAGAUCCUCAUAAGCAAAGAGACAGUAGUGAUGUGACCACAAGUUCUGAUUGUAAAGCACUUGACUGCAAGUUUGUACAGGCAAAUUUUGGUGUAAAUUUGUGGCGACAAUCAUUCAUGGCACCUUGUAGGAGCCGAAGUCACAAUGAUGACAUUUGACCAAUGGCAUGAUCA